GGUGGCGAAUGAUGAUAUAAGUCUUGUCCUACACACUGAUUAUCUGUGUUGACAACAAACUCCGCUUAUUAUCUGAUGCCAUU